rnacentral:rRNA from 1 species
AACGCGAAGAACCUUACCUGGGUUUGACAUGCACAGGACGCCGGUAGAGAUAUCGGUUCCCUUGUGGCCUGUGUGCAGGUGGUGCAUGGCUGUCGUCAGCUCGUGUCGUGAGAUGUUGGGUUAAGUCCCGCAACGAGCGCAACCCUUGUCUCAUGUUGCCAGCGCGUUAUGGCGGGGACUCGUGAGAGACUGCCGGGGUCAACUCGGAGGAAGGUGGGGAUGACGUCAAGUCAUCAUGCCCCUUAUGUCCAGGGCUUCACACAUGCUACAAUGGCCGGUACAAAGGGCUGCGAUGCCGCGAGGCUUAGCGAAUCCUUUAAAGCCGGUCUCAGUUCGGAUCGGGGUCUGCAACUCGACCCCGUGAAGUCGGAGUCGCUAGUAAUCGCAGAUCAGCAACGCUGCGGUGAAUACGUUCCCGGGCCUUGUA